ACUCAAAGGAAUUGACGGGGACCCGCACAAGCAGCGGAGCGUGUGGUUUAAUUCGAUGCGACGCGAAUAACCUUACCAGGGCUUGACAUUCUCUUGCAACUGCUUGAAAGAGCAGCCUCCUUCGGGACAAGAGAACAGAUGUUGCAUGGCUGUCGUCAGCUCGUGUCGUGAGAUGUUGGGUUAAGUCCCGCAACGAGCGCAACCCUUGUCCUUAGUUGCAUAUCUAGGGAGACCGCCGGAAACAAACCGGAGGAAGGUGGGGAUGACGUCAAGUCAGCAUGACUCUUACGUCCUGGGCUACACACACGCUACAAUGGCCACUACAAAAAGAAGCCAUCUCGCAAGAGAGAGCAGACCUCCAAAGGUGGCCCCAGUUCAGAUUGCACUCUGCAACCCGAGUGCAUGAAGUCGGAGUUGCUAGUAACCGCGUGUCAGCAUAGCGCGGUGAAUAUGUUCCCGGGUCUUGUACACACCGCCCGU
rnacentral:rRNA from 1 species